rnacentral:rRNA from 1 species
AUUGAACGCUGGCGGCAGGCAUAACACAUGCAAGUCGAGCGGAGAGGCGGACGGGUGAGUAAUGCAUAGGAAUAUGCCUGGUAGUGGGGGAUAACGUCCGGAAAAGGGCGCUAAUACCGCAUACUAUAAGAUGAGCCUAGGUCGGAGUAGCUAGUUGGUGGGGUAAAGGCCUACCAAGGCGCCGAUCCGUAACUGGGCUGAGAGGAGGAUCAGUCACACUCUAACUGCGACACGGUCCAGACUCCUACUGUAGGCAGCAGUUGGGAAUAUUUCACAAUGGGCGCAAGCCUGAUGCAGCCAUGCCGCGUGUAUGAAUAAGGCCUUCGGGUUGUAAAGUACUUUCAGCGGGGAGGCGUUACCCGCAGAAGAAGCACCGGCUAACUCCGUGCCAGCAGCCGCGGUAAUUC